rnacentral:lncRNA from 1 species
UCUUCCUCUUUUUACUUCCCCUAUGGCUCGUCACUCCUUGCUCUUAGCCCUCCUCCUCUUCGCCGCCGUGGCCACCGCCGCGAUGGCGGUGGCCGCGUCCGACGCCGACGACAUCCUGAUCCGUCAGGUGGUGCCAGAUGUUGGCGAAGCCGAAGAGGAGGACAACCUGCUGAACGCCGAGCACCACUUCGCGAGCUUCAAGGCCAAGUUCGCCAAGACCUACGCCACCAAGGAGGAGCACGAUCAUCGCUUCGGCGUCUUCAAGUCCAACCUCCGCAGAGCCAGGCUGCACGCCAAGCUCGACCCCUCCGCCGUCCACGGCGUCACCAAAUUCUCCGAUCUAACUCCGGCCGAGUUCCGCCGCCAGUUCCUCGGCCUCAAGCCGCUCCGCUUCCCGGCGCACGCCCAGAAGGCGCCCAUCCUCCCCAC